UUUAUCGUGUAAUUCCAUACCGGUUCACAACUUUUACUUCUAAUUUUGUUAUGUGAUAUCUAUAUUUUUUUGUCUUUGCAGAAGGCUUCAUCAACAAACAUAGUGAAUUGAUCGAAGAAGUAAAUUAUUGUACUGGUUCACGUCCUUUCUCAUACAUAGUGAAGAAGAUGGCUGAGGGAAGAACAAGUGUUGGACUUGUAAUACAGCAAAAGCUCAACAUAGAGGGCAAAGGGGCAGCAACUUCUCGAAUAUACUUCUUUGGAGGAGAUACCUGGAGAUGAUCCUGAUGUCGAAAUUAAUAUCAUAAUGUCCGUUCUAGGUACGAAGCUCGGGCAUCAAAUUCUCGGGUUAGGAGAUGACCGCCUUCGAGACAUUGGAAUAUCUUCUUCCAAUUUACGCAAUUUGGAGAAGGAGUUGGAAGCAGAACAUAUUGCUCGUAAGAUAGCCGAUGUGGCUCGAGUAAACAUGGAGAAUGAUAUGUAAAAUAAGCUAAAGGUUGUCGAGUAACAAUUCAAUUCUACAUUACAAUCUUGGCAUCUAUAUAAUAAUUAUGUGGUAAAGUUCCUGGGUUCAUUGUACCAUUGUCAAUAGAAAAUAAUGGUAAUGAGAAAGAUGAUGCUAUUGAGGAUGAAGAGAAUAACUUUGGUGAGAAU